CCGCUCUCCCAUGGAAGGAAACUCUCCACCGCGUCCAUGGAAGCCGCCCGGAUCUGCGUGCGCACCAUCUCUCUCGCCCCCGACCCGUCUCUCUCGCUGCCCAGCCACGUUCGCUCUCCACCGCGCAGAUCCUCGCUUCGCAAUCAACGCUCCCUUGACUUACCAGUUACCACACCAACCCAACCCCGACUCUCCAUGGAAGGCGCGACGACCGAGACCCAGCUCUCCAUGGAAGGCGUCAACAUGCCCUCGUCCCCGCUCGCCCACGCAUGCGCGCGCCCACGUGGCUGGGCAGCUCCCGCACCCUAGCCUGUGCCUUCGCCACGCCCUCGCCCACGCCAACCCCUGCCUCUCUCCCGCCGCGUCCGCGUUCCGGAUCUGUCGCCUCCCGCCGCGCCCUGCCUCCCUCUCCCAACCUUGCCAGCAGGACCACCGUCGGCGAUGCCUCCCUCCUGUCGCACCUUACCUCCUCAUCCCGACCUCUCCACCACGCCCAUGUCCCCAUUGUCGCUCGUGCUGGGCCCGUGCCAGACUCAUCCACGCCGCUGAUGUAGAGCGUGCGCUAGGCGAGGGGGUGAGUGCGUGACCGAGAUAGAGGCUGCGACAACCUCCCCGGCCACCUUGCCAUCUCCAUCGUCCUCGGGGCCAAUGCUGGUAGAGGCACUUUGGUUCCUGGAUGACCUACAAGGAAUGGGAGAUGGUGGGUAAGCGUGGGGUGUAGAUCCUUCCAGGCUCAGAUCGAUUUCUUCGUUCGCUGGAGCAUUCCUUAAUGCAUUUGGAUCAAUUGUUCUCAAUGCGCCUGUUGGAAUCAAGAGUUAUUACCUCAGCUUAUUCUUAGAGUUGUCACAUAUUGCCAUGCCCUUCAUAAGAGUUGAGUGUCCUACUUCCGGGUGCCCAUGAUUGGAAGGUCUCUUGGGUUGAUUUUCUCAGGGACUACACAAUCACUAGGCUGGAAAUUAGCUUAUACUUGCAUGAGCUCACCUUGUCAUUUGUGGAAGCAUUCACUGUCUCCUGAUAAGGGUGAGCUUCACAUCUUUAGAACAGACACGUUGAAGGAAAUGAGUAUCCGAGUACCAAGAACGAAAGAAGAGCUUUUGGAUAUAAAUGGCCUCUACAAGUAAUGCAGCUACUCUGCCUUUUUUGAAUGAAUUAUGUAUGCUGCCAUCCUUUUGUUUUCAAAAAGGGCUUGGUCCCGGUUUGUUCCUUUCUUUGUUUUUUCUCGAACGUUUCUUGUCGCGGUCUCAUGGUGGUUGCUAUAACUCAAUCUCCAGUUCACAGUAGGGUUGAACAAAGUAUAAGGGGCAGGUUGACUCUUCUCACUUGAAACGAAAAUUGCAGGGGCUAUGUUGUGUAAUGGUAAUAUAGUGUCACAUC